UGUAUAAUGGGUCAGCGACUUAUAUUCUGUAGCAAGGUUAACCGAAUAGGGGAGCCGAAGGGAAACCGAGUCUUAACUGGGCGUUAAGUUGCAGGGUAUAGACCCGAAACCCGGUGAUCUAGCCAUGGGCAGGUUGAAGGUUGGGUAACACUAACUGGAGGACCGAACCGACUAAUGUUGAAAAAUUAGCGGAUGACUUGUGGCUGGGGGUGAAAGGCCAAUCAAACCGGGAGAUAGCUGGUUCUCCCCGAAAGCUAUUUAGGUAGCGCCUCGUGAAUUCAUCUCCGGGGGUAGAGCACUGUUUCGGCAAGGGGGUCAUCCCGACUUACCAACCCGAUGCAAACUGCGAAUACCGGAGAAUGUUAUCACGGGAGACACACGGCGGGUGCUAACGUCCGUCGUGAAGAGGGAAACAACCCAGACCGCCAGCUAAGGUCCCAAAGUCAUGGUUAAGUGGGAAACGAUGUGGGAAGGCCCAGACAGCCAGGAUGUUGGCUUAGAAGCAGCCAUCAUUUAAAGAAAGCGUAAUAGCUCACUGGUCGAGUCGGCCUGCGCGGAAGAUGUAACGGGGCUAAACCAUGCACCGAAGCUGCGGCAGCGACGCUUAUGCGUUGUUGGGUAGGGGAGCGUUCUGUAAGCCUGCGAAGGUGUGCUGUGAGGCAUGCUGGAGGU
rnacentral:rRNA from 1 species